GAUCCUCCUGCCUCAGCCUCCUGAGAGGCUGGGACUACAGGUCAUCUCAACCACCCUCGGGCUUCAAGCAGUGAGGCUGUGCAUCCUCCUGCCCGUGGCUGUCCUCCCUGGCCAUCCUGUGGACCACCAGUUCAGUAUUUCCAGUGUCACCAUCAUCAUUUUGGCCCACAGACCUGCCCCUCAACUGUCUUCAUCAAAUUUCGUCCGGAGCCAGCCCUGCUUUCCAGAGUCUUCAACUUACCUGCUCAUCCUCCCCUGUGUGCCCUGUUUGCCUGGAAGUCCAGAUGACUGCAGUAGAGAUGGCCACGUGAGACUUCCGGAUCGCUGUGCCUGUGAGAGAUGCGUCCUAUCUGCGCAGACAGAGAGAGCUUCAUAGCAAGAGCACCAGCUUCAGAAGAGGCCGCACAAUGAUUGUGGGGAUCAAGACCAAAAGAAGAACACGCUACAGUCAGAUGGUGCCCACACCUGGGGUUCAAAGAAGACUCAGGAUUCCCUGAAGGAGUAGCCCAACGUCAGCACCAGGUAGUAGCAUGGCCCCCAUCAGCCACCCACCUCCGAGCUUUCCCUUGGGCUGAACUGGCAGGCCCCUUUGAAGUACCGUUAACCACCUACACCACCAUCAAAAUAAAGGAAAAAUUUUCCCAGAUUCAUGCGAGCUACAGCAAACUGCACUGAGACAGUUGGAAGACCACCCCUACAGGUGACGUGAAACAGGUCAGACACAGACCCAGCAUCCCUUUGCACCAGUCGUUCAAACCCUGGCGACACUAACUAAUCAAUUCAAUUGCUAGUUAUGCCAACAUGCAGAUCAUACAAAGGAACCUGAACUCAUUUUUGUUGCUGCCAAUGUGAGUGCCUGGUGGGACUGGUCUGGAAGAUGGAGGUAUGACAAGCAGUGGCAUCCACAGCCAAAGAAAACAUAUUAUGGUACUUCUCCUGUUGGUGAGUUAACUGAACACAGAAAAAGUGUCUUUUUCUCAGGUAAAGUCACUAGAAAGAAAAUUUUUAUCUCUUCUGGGUGAAAUUCUAGGGCAAUAUUGUGAUCAAACCCUAUGAUUUGAUUCCACAGAUGACAUUCUUGCACCUCUUAGAUCAUGCUGACACUAACCCUCAUGAUGUCAAUACUUGUUAAAUAAUCAGAUGUUAUGGACGGCUCACAAGCCAGGCCUCUGCAACUUGGGGUAGCUCCCUUGCUCCUCUUGUUAAGUUGACAGACACUAAUGAUUACAUAUGGACAGAUGAAAAGUCUGGACUGACUUGGUUUGGUGACAAAACCAAGCCCUGUAACUGCCAGAACUGGACCAAAGGCCUUUUGUAUCAAAUAUUUCACAACCUGUUUUGUUCUCACAGACUGGCAGGGACACAUGGAGAUGAAACUGUCCAUAU